CCUACGGGAGGCAGCAGUGGGGGAUAUUGCACAAUGGGGGAAACCCUGAUGCAGCGACGCCGCGUGAGUGAAGAAGUAUUUCGGUAUGUAAAGUUCUAUCAGCAGGGAAGAAAAUGACAGUACCUGACCAAGUAGCCCUGGCGAACUACGUGCCAGCAGCCGCGGGAAUACGUAGGGGGCAAGCGUUAUCCGGAUCUACUGGGGGUAAAGGGAGCGUAGACGGUUGUGUAAGUCUGGAGUGAAAGCCGUGGGCCCAACCCCGGGACUGCUUUGGAAACUGUGUAACUAGAGUACAGGAGGGGCAGGCAGAAUUCCUGGUGUAGCGGUGAAAUGCGUAGAGAUCAGGAGGAACACCGGCGGCGAAGGCGGCCUGCUGGACUGAAACUGACGUUGAGGCUCGAAAGCGUGGGGAGCAAACAGGAUUAGAUACCCGGGUAGUC
rnacentral:rRNA from 1 species